UGAAUGAAUCUUUUGAUAAAUUUUUGUUAUGCAUUUCCCAAGAUUGAGGAUAUGUUUCUCUGUUUUAUUGAAGAGCCCGGUGAUGAUAAAAAAGCGUCUGUUUUGGCCAUUUUGCUAUCCUUGUUUCAUAAAAGAAUUCACAAAUUGACAAGCUGAGGCUUUACUAAUAUGUUUUGCACCAUUCCUAUUUGUUCUUCUUCCCCUGCUUAUCCCUUUCUCUCCAUAUAUCAGACCUAAUGCAAAUGAAGAGUUCUUGUGCCAAAGCCUGAAGCAUUUGAAGAAUGAUUUGAAGAAUGAGGCAGAAAUUUUGGAUAAAAUAGGAAGGUUAUAUGUCCUCUCUCUUCCAAACAUGCACUUUCAUGUGCUUACACACACAGGCACAAGAAUUUUUGCUUUGGUUUAAUUUAUUUUUUAUUCACAAGCAAUUCUUUUAUCAUGUAAUGAUUUAUUGGCCAUUAAUGCGAUGCAAAGUUCAGCUUGGAGGCUCUUGAGAUGAAACCGCUUGAUCUCAGUCGGCAAAAAUAUGGAGCUCAGGACAAGAUGAGAAAGGUCUUAUAAACCAGAUACGACAAAGAUCCUCACCGUUCAAGAAGCUCAGUACCACCAGCAAGUUGUUAUCAACGCAAUUUGACAAAUCGAAAAGUUGAAUUGAGUUUGUUUUUUCACUAACCGCUAGUGAUUUUUUCCCCUAAUCUAGUGAAGCCUAACAUAAGCUAUCUUUCUUCUCUUCAGAACGCAAAGCUGCUUGAGAACGAGGCUUCAACUUCAAAGCUAAAGGAUGCUGAGGUGUCUGCUGUUGAGGUGAAGGACUCCGAUUUCACAACUGAAGAAUCUGUAAACUCUAAAAGAAAGCGGAAUAAGUCAGAGGAUGAUGAGAAAGAGGAAGCAGGGUCAUCAGCUGUUGAGGUCCCCUGCCCAACACCCCAUCUAAACAUUAGCUUCCUCAAAACCCAAACCAAUUGGAACCUUCAAAAGGCUUAGGACUUUACAUCAAUCAAAUCUCCCAUGCCUUAGAGCUAUCUUCUAUGUUUCAGUUUAUUUUACAUAUAUGUAUUGCCCAUUAAUAUACUUUUUUUACUUUUCUAUGUAUGCAUGUAUGCAUACAUGUAUGUGUUGUGUAUGAAGUCAGGUUUGUGUGAGAUACAAAACAGAGAAAUAGAUUUGUGUAA